GUAAGCCUACGGGACGCAGCAGUGGGGGAUAUUGCACAAUGGGCGAAAGCCUGAUGCAGCGACGCCGCGUGAGGGAAGACGGUUUUCGGAUUGUAAACCUCUGUCGAGGGGGACGAAGGAAGUGACGGUACCCCUUGAGGAAGCCACGGCUAACUACGUGCCAGCAGCCGCGGUAAUGCGUAGGUGGCAAGCGUUGUCCGGAAUUACUGGGUGUAAAGGGAGCGUAGGCGGGAAUGCAAGUUGAAUGUAUAAACGGUCGGCUCAACCGGCCGAAGCGUUCAAAACUGCCGUUCUUGCGUGGAGUA
rnacentral:rRNA from 1 species